CAUUCUGACACACCCUCAUCAUUUAAAGCCCUGAUAACAUGCUGCAGUGGGACAAACCUCUGAAUCCAUAAACUCUCUACACAGUUCUACUUGAGAAGAAGAGAAGAUGUCUGGAUCUGAAGGCACAAAAGAUGUGAAAAGACGCGAAACCACUGAAAAACAGAAAAACUCUUCACACAUUUCAAAGGACGUCAUGAAGAUCUUCAACGACCCCAUUCAUGGCCACAUUGAGCUGCACCCCCUGCUGGUGAAGAUCAUUGACACUCCUCAGUUUCAGAGACUGAGACACAUUAAACAGCUGGGAGGAACAUACCUGGUGUAUCCGGGAGCUUCUCACAAUCGCUUUGAGCACUCUCUUGGGUGGUUGAUCUGGAUCACGGCAUGAAGGACAAAAACCCCAUUGAUAACGUCUAUUUCUACAGCAAGAGGAAACCCAAUGAAGCUUCUAAAAUGAAAGUUUAUCAGCUCUCCAGUUUCCUGCCAAAUAAGUUUAAUGAAGAACUGGUCAGAGUUUACUACAAACAAACUGAUGGGAAACAGAAGGAGAAGAAAAAAGUGGAGGAGAAGAAGACAGUGGAGGAGGCUGAGAAGUGCUUUCAGAAAUGGUGUGACUCCAAAUUUGGACUCCAGUAAUGUGCAUUUGGUUUAUAAUAUAUGAUAUUUAGGGUUAUGGCUGCACAAUCAGUACAUGUGUCUGUAAUUUCACGGAUUGUUUAAUGAAUGAACUACAGGGGCAGUUUAAAUAAACUUUUUCACAUUCAUGUUACUAAAUAAACAUGCAGACAGAGAAAAACUAUAAUGGAAAAUAAAUUACAGGAGUAGUAUUGAUAGUAUGAGAUUUGCAAAUAAAUUAAGCACACUUUUAUUCGAUGAGUGAAAGACUUGUCACUGUAAGGCAUAAAGAGUGACCAGCAGAGGUCUCUAUUCUUAUAAUCAGGGCUUUUUUUUUUUUUUUUUUGGUAAAGGUUUCUCUGAGUCGCUGUGCACAUGUGUUUAUAACGCUCUGUCUGAUAUUGAAUGUUGAAUCAAUCAUACUGUAAUCUUCAUCAUCAGUUUCAGAUUAAUUCUAGUUUAACCACUUAUUCUCUGGGGCGUUUUUGGGAAUUUUCUCCUAAAUUUUCACACUCAAAUUCAAAUGUUUACCCUGCACACAUACAAUGGAGGAAAUGAAAGAAAAAAAAAUGGUUUAAUUUGAAAGAAAACCCUUUGAACUAUAACAGAUGGGUGUCAUUUUUCAUAAAUAACAUUAUAUGUGUUUCAAAUAUUACAAUAAACACAAAAAAUAAAAUAAAAUGAAAAUCUGUAAUUCAUGUUCUAUUUAUCUAAAACUUACUUAGUUUGAUGCCACUAGAUGCCAAAAUGUACCAGAAAAAAUAAUUUUUCAAAUAACAGCUUCCAAACAGGAGUUAUUGCAUCAUAAAUGAAGCGAGUGAAAUUAUCAUAUUUUGCAUGUAGAUUUGUCAUUUUGAGUUUCCUUUGCAAAAACAAGCUAUAUAAAACAAAUUACUCCCAGAAUCCUAAUUUACUAUGUGCCAUAACCACUUUUCCUGAUUAUUGAAUGAAUUAUGUUUCAUUUUUAUGUUUUUCUAAGUAGUAAAAUACAAAAUUGCAUAAACAAAUUGAACCAAAUUUCACAUUUUGUGUUUUAUAUUAUCAGUUGUAUUCUUUCAGGAGACACAAAACUGUAUAAAUUUAAAAAUAUAUCUACCCACUGGGCAAGGUUAUGUCCAGAGGACGUCUUUUUAUGUCUUUGCAGACGUUGAAAAGACGUCCACUGAGGAGCCAGAAUGAAAGUUUUUAUGACGUCUUUUUUUGGCGUGUUCUGAGCAUCCGAUUUAGACGUUCAUGGAACCUCCAUACAAGGUUAAAAACUAGUUCAAAUGUGGUCAGUGGACAUAUUUUUUACAUAAUUUAAGGUUCAUUUAGACAUAAUUUAUACUGUUUCUGGACCAAAUAAACACUCUCAGGAUGCAUUAGAUUUAAACUCAUGUUUUUUCAAAGUAAUUUCCAUUUAUAAUUGCAAAGCAACUCACAGACACUGUGUUUGUCCAAAAAUCAUGAAAAUAAAAGAAUCUUCACUGAAACAGUGUUUAAUUAAAUGAUCAAAUAACUAAUGAUUAAGCAUUUGGUAAAAUCAACUGCAAAUCAAAGACAAUAAAUCUCUCAAGAUCUCAGCAGAGGAGGAUCAAACAUCUCCACAAACAGCAUCACCAGCUUCACUC